UGGGGAAUAUUGCACAAUGGGCGCAAGCCUGAUGCAGCCAUGCCGCGUGUAUGAAGAAGGCCUUCGGGUUGUAAAGUACUUUCAGCAGUGAGGAAGGUGGUGUGUUUAAUACGCACAUCACUUGACGUUAGCUGCAGAAGAAGCACCGGCUAACUCCGUGCCAGCAGCCGCGGUAAUACGGAGGGUGCGAGCGUUAAUCGGAAUUACUGGGCGUAAAGCGCAUGCAGGUGGUUUGUUAAGUCAGAUGUGAAAGCCCGGGGCUCAACCUCGGAAUAGCAUUUGAAACUGGCAGACUAGAGUACUGUAGAGGGGGGUAGAAUUUCAGGUGUAGCGGUGAAAUGCGUAGAGAUCUGAAGGAAUACCGGUGGCGAAGGCGGCCCCCUGGACAGAUACUGACACUCAGAUGCGAAAGCGUGGGGAGCAAACAGG
rnacentral:rRNA from 1 species